rnacentral:rRNA from 1 species
UUUCUUGAUUCGGUGGGUGGUGGUGCAUGGCGUUCUUAGUUGGUGGAGCGAUUUGUCUGGUUAAUUCCGAUAACGAACGAGACUCUAGCCUGCUAACUAGGCGAUUUUCCGGUACCCACAAUAGUGUUACCGGCGAUUCAAUAUCUUCUUAG